GGGUCAGUAGGUUGGUCGUGCCACCGGUACGUACUGGUCUCACUGAUUCCUCCUUCCUGAAGAACCGUAAUGCCAUUAAUUUGGCGUUGCGGGAAACAGGACUGUUACUUUGAAAAAAUUAGAGUGUUUAAAGCAAGCUAACGCUUGAAUAAAUUAGCAUGGAAUAAUGAAAUAGGACGAUCGAUCCUAUUUUGUUGGUUUCUAGGAUUGACGUA
rnacentral:rRNA from 1 species